AACGCUGGCGGCAGGCCUAACACAUGCAAGUCGAGCGGUAGCACAGAGAGCUUGCUCUCGGGUGACGAGCGGCGGACGGGUGAGUAAUGUCUGGGAAACUGCCUGAUGGAGGGGGAUAACUACUGGAAACGGUAGCUAAUACCGCAUAACGUCGCAAGACCAAAGUGGGGGACCUUCGGGCCUCAUGCCAUCAGAUGUGCCCAGAUGGGAUUAGCUAGUAGGUGGGGUAAUGGCUCACCUAGGCGACGAUCCCUAGCUGGUCUGAGAGGAUGACCAGCCACACUGGAACUGAGACACGGUCCAGACUCCUACGGGAGGCAGCAGUGGGGAAUAUUGCACAAUGGGCGCAAGCCUGAUGCAGCCAUGCCGCGUGUAUGAAGAAGGCCUUCGGGUUGUAAAGUACUUUCAGCGAGGAGGAAGGCAUUAAGGUUAAUAACCUUGGUGAUUGACGUUACUCGCAGAAGAAGCACCGGCUAACUCCGUGCCAGCAGCCGCGGU
rnacentral:rRNA from 1 species